UUUCCGUCGGUGAACCUGCGGAAGGAUCAUUAAUGAGUUGUCAUGGGGUUCGAUGCUCGCAGCCAAUUUUUGGAUGCAUGUGCUUGCCCUAACAAUCAUCUUCCAAACACCUGUGCACAUUUUUGAGGGAGUCUUGAGUUGGUUGCCGCUCUUGGGUGAUUUUCUCACAUUCCCUUAAAUCAUUAUACGCUAUUAACAAUGUUGAACGUGCUCUGUGCCGCAAGGCUAUUAAUAUAAUACAACUUUUAACAACGGAUCUCUUGGCUCUC
rnacentral:misc_RNA from 1 species